AAGAUGAGUGUCACGAAGUGGUAUAAUGUCCUGCAAAAUAUGGAAAUAACUCUUUCACAAUUCCAAUGGUGAAACUGAGAUCUAGAAAGAACUAACUUGCCUAGUUGUGACAAAAGUGAAACAGUUGCCUGUCCUGGCUUGAAGGUGUGUCCUUAUCUGGGAGUAUCCUUGUGCAGUUUGCAUGUGCCUGGUGGCUUUGGUGAGAGAGUUGCAUCUAAGAGGCUGCUGUGUGGAGCUGGCUGUAGUGCGUGCCAACGAAUUAUGGAAGACAGAAUAAUGCUCCAUUAUCAUAAGAGGUCUCUUGGAAACAAGUGCUCUGGGAGAAGCCGACUGCCACCAUGCUAUAAGCAAACUCUCAAGGUAUCCAGAAGUGAGGCCACAUGGAGAAAUGAAGAUGUAUGGAUAUUCCUCAGCUAUUCCACUCAGCCCACCUGAGG